rnacentral:lncRNA from 1 species
AUUUUUACGAAAUAAUACAAUAUAAAGCUAUUAAAGUUGAUCUGGAAAUAAAGCUAACAUUGCACUUAUAUUCAACUAAUGGCAGACGUUCAAGGUUAGGUUAAUUUGCUUAAGCCGCUAUAUCAUACGAGAGAUAUAGUGUAUCUGGCGGUGGCGACUUAUAAAGCCCAUCAUAGGCUGGUCAACACCCAUGAUGUGGUCAACCGGAUGAUUAAAGAAUGGUGUUCAAUGAGCCGGGCAUAGAUCCUCCCAAAAAACUGGAGGUGUGGAACCCAGAUUUGAAUCCGGAUCCUCUAGAGUGGCAAGCCAUGCCUUUACAACGCGGCCAUCCGGUAGACGACAGAUGUUCAAACUUUAAAAAUUUUCUACAAAUGAAGGCGAAACAGACAAGCUGUUGUCGGCCGGAUUGGCCGCGUGGAAACGCUUCGACUUUCCACUCUGGAGAACCCGGGU